GCAGAGCGCUUCGUUCUCCCCUCUCGAGCACCCUUUUCCGUUUUCCGUCGCCUCCCUCUCUUCAGCCAUGCCGCGUGAGAUUAAGACCCUGAAGGAGUUUCUCGCCAUCUGCUCCCGCAAGGAUGCGCGGUGCGUGAAGGUGAAGCACAACCCCAGCGCCACCAAGUUCAAGGUCCGCUGCAGCCGCUACCUCUACACGCUGGUCGUGAACGACAAGAAGAAGGCCGACAAGAUCGAGCGCUCCAUCCACCCGUCCGUGAAGAAGAUCGCCGUGACGGCCCGCUCGCACGCCAAGACGAACGCCGGCUCCAAGCAGUAAGAAGACGCCGCAACGAUGGCAUAGCUGGUACCGUCGUCGUCGCGCCACACGCGCUCACAGGCAGACCGAAACACGCACACAUGCGCGGGGAGAAGGGGGUUGUGGCACUCGUUGUCUGCGGCAGUGCCUGCCCGCGCUCUCUUCUCCAUCAUUUUUUUUUCUCGUGCGCGCGCGUGCGUGUGUGCGUGGGUGAUCGCCGCGGCGGAAGGAAGCCAGGCUUGGUCGGCCUGGCCGCUUUCCAGGCUCGGGAAACAGCGCUCUAUUAUGGAAGCAAGUUGGCGGCGAGGCAGGCAAGGACGGGACGGGAGGAGACGCACACCCGCCCCUAUGUCUGCCUGCCCCUCUUGCGUACAGUUGUUUUCGUUUUUCAUUUUCGUGUUUUUUUUCUUGGUGGAGCGAGCGGGGGUGGGGAAGGGGCAUGAACGUUUGCGCUCGUGAGCGUGUAUGUGCCCUCGUAAACGGAAGGGAGGACGGUGCGGCGGCGGCGUGGCGGCGCGAGCGCGUGCGCGUGCGCGUGAGCAGCAGCGCCCUCCUCCCUUUCCUCGCACACGCAUACACGCAGCCAUGCGUGCGCACUCAAGUGUGCAUCCUCGUCGUUCUACGCAAAGGAAGACAGCAAAUUCAAGCAUCGCAACCGGAGCACCAGAAUAACAACCGAUCCGUUGAGUCGGACGUGUCAUGAGUGGCGCGUGCCUCCCUCAGGCGGCCACCUCUCGCGCUGGUGAACUCGGUCAUCGCUGUGGGUGGCCUGGGCAGACACGGAAACGAAAGCAGCGGCGUGUCUCUCUCUCUCUCUUAGGUAUGGGAGCGUUCAAGGGUGGGUUGUCGUGGCUGAUGUGCGCAUGUGUGCAUGUGCCGCUCUGGAAGCACACACAUACACAUACCGGCACACCAGUGCGCUCGGUCUGAGACGGCAUCCUCGCAAUUCUCUCUCUCUGGUUACACCUAUGCGUCUGCACUGGCCGGUGCUACGCCGUCACCGUCGAAGCUUCCGCGACGUUGAGUCACUGCUCACAUACACACACACACACACGCCCCCUCCCCUCCCCUUCCCUCCCCUCUCUUGUUGUCGUCUCUCUCCACACCUCAG
rnacentral:misc_RNA from 1 species